CGAACGCUGGCGGCAGGCUUAAUACAUGCAAGUCGAGCGGGCACUUCGGUGUCAGCGGCGCACGGGUGCGUAACGCGUGGGAACAUGCCCUUAGGUACGGAACAACACAGGGAAACUUGUGCUAAUACCGUAUAAUAUCUCUGGAUCAAAGAUUUAUCGCCUAAGGAUUGGCCCGCGUUAGAUUAGGUAGUUGGUGGGGUAAUGGCCUACCAAGCCGACGAUCUAUAGCUGGUCUGAGAGGAUGAUCAGCCACACUGGAACUGAGACACGGUCCAGACUCCUACGGGAGGCAGCAGUAAGGAAUAUUGGACAAUGGGCGAAAGCCUGAUCCAGCCAUGCCGCGUGAGUGAUGAAGGCCUUAGGGUUGUAAAGCUCUUUUAGAUGGGAAGAUAAUGACUGUACCAUCAGAAUAAGCCCCGGCUAAAUUCGU
rnacentral:rRNA from 1 species